UACGUAGGUGACCAGCGUUGUCCGGAUUUACUGGGCGUAAAGAGCGCGCAGGCGGUCGUUCAAGUCGAGUGUGAAAGUCACAGGCUCAACCUGUGAAUGCCGCUGGAAACUGUCUGGCUAGAGUCCGGAAGGGGCGAGUGGAAUUCCUGGUGUAGCGGUGAAAUGCGCAGAUAUCAGGAGGAACACCAAUGGCGAAGGCAGCUCGCUGGAACGGUACUGACGCUGAGGCGCGAAAGCGUGGGGAGCGAACAGG
rnacentral:rRNA from 1 species